GGUAGGGUGGCUGAGGAAAGCGUGGGGCUGUAAACCCCAACACGGAGGUUGACUCCCCCUAUCA
rnacentral:tRNA from 1 species